rnacentral:rRNA from 1 species
UACGUAGGGACCAAGCGUUGUUCGGAUUUACUGGGCGUAAAGGGCGCGUAGGCGGCAACUCAAGUCAUCUGUGAAAUCUCCGAGCUUAACUCGGAACGGUCAGAUGAUACUGUUUUGCUAGAGUACAGAAGGGGCAAUCGGAAUUCUUGGUGUAGCGGUGAAAUGCGUAGAUAUCAAGAGGAACACCUGAGGUGAAGACGGGUUGCUGGGCUGAUACUGACGCUGAAGCGCGAAAGCUAGGGUAGCAAACGGG